rnacentral:rRNA from 1 species
GACGAACGCUGGCGGCGUGCCUAAUACAUGCAAGUCGAGCGAACAGACGAGGAGCUUGCUCCUCUGACGUUAGCGGCGGACGGGGGAGUAACACGUGGAUAACCUACCUAUAAGACUGGGAUAACUUCGGGAAACCGGAGCUAAUACCGGAUAAUAUAUUGAACCGCAUGGUUCAAUAGUGAAAGACGGUUUUGCUGUCACUUAUAGAUGGAUCCGCGCCGCAUUAGCUAGUUGGUAAGGUAACGGCUUACAAAGGCAACGAUGCGUAGCCGACCUCAGAGGGUGAUCGGCCACACGGGAGGAGAGACCGGGUCCCGACUCCGACGGGAGGCAGCAGUAGGGAAUCUUCCGCAAUGGGGGAAAGCCUGACGGAGCAACGCCGCGUGAGUGAUGAAGGUCUUCGGAUCGUAAAGCUCUGUUAUUAGGGAAGAACAAAUGUGUAAGUAACUAUGCACGUAUUGACGGUACCUAAUCAGAAAGCCACGGCUAACUACGUG